rnacentral:rRNA from 1 species
GACGAACGCUGGCGGCGUGCCUAACACAUGCAAGUCGAGCGGACAGGCCCUGCUCUUGUGGGGUGCUCGAGUGGCGAACGGGUGAGAAACACGUGUGUAACCUGUCCUUGUCUUUGGGAUAACUUCAUGAAACAUGGGCUCAUACCGGAUAGGAUCUCCUGCUGCAUGGUGGGCGUUGGUUAGAUUCGGCGGUUGGGGAUGGACUCGCGGCUUAUCGGCUUGAUGGUGGGGUAGUGGCUUACCAAGGCUAUGACGGGUAGCCGACCUGGGAGGGCUACCGGCGACAUUAGGCCUGGGAUACGGCGCAGACGGCAAUGGGAGGCAACGGGGGAGAGUAUGACACAAUAGGCGGGAGCCAGAUCCAACAAAGCCGCGUGCGGGAAGACGGGCUUCGGGUUGUGAACCGAUGUCGCCUGAGAUGAGGAGUGAGUGACGGUACUGGGUAAAGAAGCACCGGCUAACUACGUG